AGUUUCAAGUUCUAAUUCAGUGACAUAGUCCUGAAAGAUUUGCCUCAUAAAGUACAAUAUGCUUCCUCCCUGCAGAAUGAAACUACAACAUCUGAAGGAAGUAUUCCUUGGCCUUUGAGACCAUGUUUGAAACUUGGCACCAUUACCUGGAGAAGCCAGGCAUCCAGUCAUGGCCUGCACCAAUCAUCACAAGUGGGAGGACCCCUGGAUGACCCAUAACCUCACCCAACACCAGAGAUGCUGAUCUCUUUCCUGCCUAUGGACUUCAGGACCCACUAACUAGAUCCUGAGCACCCAAAACUGGUGAGCUGAUGUACUAUAUCCUAAGUUUAAAAUUCUUACUCACCAGGUCAUGACACCCAAAAUCUUGGCUGUAAUCCACCCAUGGAAGAGCAACAUCAGGACUGCUGCUUUCAGCCACCGGUCCUGGUAUCACUGGAGCCAGCCUAUGAGGCUUGGAGGGACGGCCUACGCAGUGGAUGUCUUGCCUAUAUGUUCUGGUUGGGUGCAUUCACGCUGCACCGCAACAGCUUUGUCCUCCAGCUUCUACCUGUUCAAGAUUUACCACAAUCUCAACUAUGGGUCUUGGGACUUCUGAUGGCUAAGUGCCCAGAAAGAUGUGGAGGACCAGGGGGAAUGUGCCUUGGCAGAACUGAACCAGAAAAAGACAGAGGCCUCUUCCAACCCUUUUUGGAUCACUGGUGAUUGUGAUUAAUCAUCUUUGGAGAAUUUUAUCACGGAGCUCUCUACAUAUUAUUAAAAAACAUUAUCUUCAUAUUUACCAAAAUCAUCCACUUUUCUCCUUGCCAAUGGCCAUUCCCUUUACCCCCAGUGAUCAUCAAAUACCUACAUUUUGCACGGAUCCCUGACUAAGGUAGAGCCACCACAUUGAGUAAAUUUGUCAUUGUAAACAAAGAUCACUUGAACCAUGAGAUUACAUCCUGGAAUAACAGUGCCUGUGUAUACUCCCCCCACCAAAAUAACUUGAGUGUUCCUUAUACCCAGCUUCACAUUCAUCUACAAUACCUCUUCCAUGCAAAUCAAUUUCUUACAAGUAAAAUAUGGAAGCAUCCCAUGAAACAUCCCAACCCCUUGAGAAUUCAACCAAUUUUUGUUGAGGACAUAUUACGUGCCCAGCACUGUAAUAAAUUCUGAGAACAUCAUGAUGAAUAAGUCACAGGGCUUGCCCUAGAAAUUUUGUAUUCCAGAGUGGAAGUCAUACAAUUAAACAGCGUGGUAAGUGCUACAGCAUUGUAAUGAUGGCCACAAGAACUCCCUCAUCUCUGGAGCUCCUAAUUGUCCAGGCUGACUCACAGAUGAUCUUCUAAUAUGCCAAAGCAACCCGCAAGCAGCAAGCCCAGGGGAAUCCCUGCAAGUGGUGAUCCCAUGGAUUCUGGUUACUAAUAUAUUAUUUUUAAACCACCUGACUUUUAAACAAGCUAGAUGCUCACUUACUAAGCGCCUUCCCCGUUAUGGCAUCAAGCUGGUAGCCCUCAGGUUGUAGUUGCUGAAAGGUGGAAUCCAGCUGUGAAGUUGGAAGACAUGGCUUAAAGUUUGACUCCUGGCACUUAUCAUGACUCGGGGCACAUCACUUAAGAUCUCUAGUUUUUGGUGUCUUUCUUUGCAAAAUAAAAACGAAAACAUUAUAUGCUACACCUACCUCACAGGGUCGUUGUGAGAAUCACGUGACAGUGUAUGUGAAAGCACUAUGUAACUUGGUUAUUUUACAGUCGUCCCCUUUUCCCUACCAGAUACAGUACUAUAAUUUACCAGAAGGACAUACUCUUAUCCCUGAAUGGUACAAAGAAGAUUAAGUACAUGCAUUCCUGGAUAUCUGGCUUUAAAACGGGAAUUAUAAGGCCUCAAAGAUGAGAAGGAUAUAAUCCAGAGGACAGGGGACCAAAUUCAGGGCCCCACUGCCACACAGACAUUCCACCAUUAACACACCAUUAGAGCCACACACCAGUCAGCCCUCUUGGUGGGAAGUUUUCUCCAGGGCCCAUUGCAGAGAACCCACUCUUGGCUCCAGAAAACUAACCAGAUAGUAAUGAUUGAAGGAGUUACCUGGGCUCAGGAAUCACCAGCCACUCCAGGAGCGUGCAUGCCUCCCAUGAUAGAGCAGGUCUUGGUUAAAGGAGACACUGGCCCAAUUUAAAAAACACAAACCACUCUGACUGCUGACCUGUGAGAGUUGGGCCAGCAAGGGAAACUCUUAGACAUUCAUUUAAAGCAAAGACUUGGUGACACAUUUCCUCUUUAAGCACAUUUGGUGACGCUCGGGUCAACCUGGCUCUUGCCUUUCUGAUUUUGAGUUGUCGAUUCCUUGUCUGUCCAACAGACCUGUGUUAAGAUGUGUUCCCGGCUUACAAGUCAUACACACAAAACACACACACACACACACACACACACACACACACACACACACACAUACACACACACACCACUGAGGAAUCCAUGUGGCAAAGCUCCAGCCCGGUCUUCAAUUUUUGGUAAUUCACAAUGAAUUCUGGAUUGGCUGGUCUCAUUUGAGUUCAGUCUCACUAGAGCACUCUAGCCCAGGCUGGAACACUAACUCUCAGCCCACGGUAGAAGUUUAAGUAGAGUUCCUGUGGAGCCAUUGACAUCCAGUGAUCAUUUAUGGAAAAAAAA